GGGGAUGGUAGAGGGUACUCUCCUACUGACUGACUGACUGUGUGAGGUAAGGGGAUGGUAGAGGGUACUCUCCUACUGACUGACUGUGUGAGGUAAGGGGAUGGUAGAGGGUACUCUCCUACUGACUGACUGUGUGAGGUAAGGGGAUGGUAGAGGGUACUCUCCUACUGACUGACUGUGUGAGGUAAGGGGAUGGUAGAGGGUACUCUCCUACUGACUGACUGUGUGAGGUAAGGGGAUGGUAGAGGGUACUCUCCUACUGACUGACUGACUGUGUGAGGUAAGGGGAUGGUAGAGGGUACUCUCCUACUGACUGACUGUGUGAGGUAAGGGGAUGGUAGAGGGUACUCUCCUACUGACUGACUGUGUGAGGUAAGGGGUUGGUA